rnacentral:tRNA from 1 species
AAGUAGUUAGUUUAAGAAAAACAUUUGAUUUCGGCUCAAACGCUUGUGGUUUAAUUCCACAACCACUUA